rnacentral:misc_RNA from 1 species
AUAGGUGAACCUGCGGAAGGAUCAUUAACACGUAUCAACAACCCUGCGAACCUGAACGUGCUCUCGUACACGCUCUAGCAGCCCUCCCUGGUAAAUCAUUGUUGACCAGCUAUUGAGUCUGGGACUUCUGCUAGAAAACCAUACGAUACGAGCGCCAGAGCAUCCUAGCAAUCUGUCAGUGGUUGCGCAAGGAUGGCGCAGUAAACGAUCACACGGCCGGCGACCGGGCCUCUGUGCUUCGGCACCUAAUGACACCAGUUUUCUGACCCGGUGCGCUGUAACAACCGCACCACAAACUCGAACAACUGUUCGCAAUGGAUAUCUUGGUUCUG